rnacentral:rRNA from 1 species
CCUACGGGAGGCAGCAGUGGGGAAUAUUGCACAAUGGGGGAAACCCUGAUGCAGCGACGCCGCGUGAGUGAAGAAGUAUUUCGGUACGUAAAGCUCUAUCAGCAGGGAAGAAAAAAAGUCCUUUGGACUUUGGACGGUACCUGACCAAGAAGCCCCGGCUAACUACGUGCCAGCAGCCGCGGUAAUACGUAGGGGGCAAGCGUUAUCCGGAUUUACUGGGUGUAAAGGGAGCGUAGACGGCAGCGCAAGUCUGGAGUGAAAUGCCGGGGCCCAACCCCGGAACUGCUUUGGAGACUGUGCAGCUGGAGAGCAGGAGAGGUAAGCGGAAUUCCUAGUGUAGCGGUGAAAUGCGUAGAUAUUAGGAGGAACACCAGUGGCGAAGGCGGCUUACUGGGCUGUAACUGACGUUGAGGCUCGAAAGCGUGGGGAGCAAACAGGAUUAGAUACCCGGGUAGUC